CCGACGGUGAGGGGCGAAAGCUGGGGGAGCAAACCGGAUUAGAUACCCGGGUAGUCCCAGCCGUAAACGAUGUGCGUUAGGUGUAUCGGUGACCUCGAGUCACCGAGGUGCCGAAGAGAAAUCGUGAAACGUACCGCCUAGGAAGUACGGUCGCAAGGCUGAGACUUAAAGGAAUUGGCGGGGGAGCACCACAACAGGUGGAGCCUGCGGUUUAAUCGGACUCAACGCCGGGAAACUCACCAGAUAAGACAGCUGAAUGAUAGUCGGGCUGAAGACUCUACUUGACUAGCUGAGAGGAGGUGCAUGGCCGUCGUCAGUUCGUACUGUGAAGCAUCCUGUUAAGUCAGGCAACGAGCGAGACCCACGCCAACAGUUGCU
rnacentral:rRNA from 1 species